GAGGGGGAGGGGGAGGGGAGGAAGGGGCGGGCCCGGGGAGGCGGUGCUGGGAGCUGUAGGAUGGAGAGAAGGUAGGAAGACGCAGGGAGCGGUGGGGGGUGUGGUGGGGAGAGAUGGUGGACGAGCGGGGUGCAGAGCGAUGGAGGAUGCUGGGGGAGGGAGGGGUACAGGGGAGGGAGGAUGCAGGAGAGACAGGUGCGGGAGGAGGGAGGGUGCAGGGGGAGGGAGGGUUGCAGGAUGCGGAGGGGGGGAGGGAGGGUAGAGGGCAGGAUGCGAUGCAGGGAGAUCUGGAGCCAACAGACGGACAGAGGUGGAGACAGGCGCAGAGGAGACUAAGAGAGCAGGAGAGACGCUGACCACCGGGGGCUCGGGCAGGGCAGUAGAGAGCUGGAGGGACAGAGCCAGGACAUCAAUGGGGGCCGUGGGAGCCAGGCCGCAGGGACACAGGGGAGCAAACCUGGAGAACAUGGCGUGCAAGAGAGCCGCAGAGACUGCUGGAUGCAGACGGGACUGGCAGGGAGCGGGGUGCACACGUGCGGAGGGACUGGGGGACCUGCGGAGACAUCGGAGAGGUGCAGGCAGAGAAGGGGAAGAAUUCAGAAUUGCCGACCCAGGACUCAUGCCUGUCCACGUUCCCCAGGCUCACUUGCCCAGGCCCUGAAAUCUUUGUGCAGUUUCCGGUGUGAGCCAUGAGUCCUCACCAGCACGUCCCAUGUGCUGAACCAUGCAGAUGCCCACAUUCGAAUUCCCCCAACUUUGCUGUUGUGAUUAUGGAGCAUCCUGAUUUCCGGUGGGCCCAAUGUCACUCUACGGUCCUUGCAGGAGGCACGAAGGAGGCCCAGAGUCACGGUCACAGGAGGUGAGGCCAUGUGGCUGUACACUGAGGAACCAGGGCAGCUUCCGACCAGCCGGAACAGGCAGAGAGAACACAUUCUCUCCAGCAGCCUCAGAAGGAACUUCGUUUUGGACUUUCGUUCUCCAGCACUGCCAGAUAAUAAAUGUGUGUUGUUUUAAGCCGCCAA
rnacentral:lncRNA from 1 species